rnacentral:sRNA from 1 species
ACCUCCCAACAGGAAGUAGGCACAUGAAGCCUCCCAACAGGAGGUGCAUCUGCUGAGAAAUGCUGGCGAUGAAGUUACCAUCACCGUUGAGUAUCUCAGGGAAGCGCCGGCAUUUCUGAAGCUCCCGUUAGGGUCCCCAGGGCCAUCCAGCGACCACAGCAGUGGGGCCUCCUCUCCCCUCUUUGACAGCGGUUUGCAUCUGAAUGGAAACUCCAGUACCACAGCCCCAUCGUCACCUUCCUCGCCCAUAGCUAAGGACCCGAGGUAUGAGAAGCGCUGGCUGGACACCUUGUCCGUGCCUCUGUCCAUGGCUCGCAUCUCAAGGUACAAAGCCGGAACGGAAAAAUUAAGAUUGUAACGGAGCUGAAAAUCCCUACUGCCUGGUGACAUCAACCAUCGUAACCUCACAGUGAAAGAUAUGACUCACGUGUUUGUGGUGAUGUUGACAUAGACAAACCUACUGCACUGCCAGUCAUAUAAAAGGAAACAGUAAUGUCCUGGACCUUCACAUUCACUCACUCCUCACUCAUGGCUUCACCCAGAACAACUUCCAGUCCUGAAGGCUCUAUUCAUGGCACUCACCUUAUUUCAGAAGGAGAAGGCAGAUGGGCUCUAUAGUAGUCAUAAUGGAAACAGACCUACUGCAGAUAAGCAGAUUUUGAAAAGUGAUACUGCAAGUCAGAAUUAUACUGCUAAAUACUCUAAUUUGUUUUGCAAAGGAGAGUAUCAUGUUUAAAUAGUCAUACCAAA